UGGGUAGCUUGCACAGUCUCUGCCCGGCUGUGCCUGGCUCCUGCUAGCGCUGUGGGCUCCUCACUUUCACAAGCACCAAAGUUGCUCGGGGCGUGGAGACGAGUGCAGCCACCCAGAGCGCCUGGGCCCCUCUGGUGCCAGGCUGCACAGGGCAGUGACGACCUGCACCUACCUUACAAAGCCCAUCUCGGAGCUCUCUGGGCAUGGGCACGUUGCAGGGACACUGUCCCCACAGCCCAGGCUUCCCUGCUCUGGGCCAAGCGGCUGACUUUCCCAGGCCAGGGGACUGGGCGCUCACGUUUUCCGGCCGCCCAGCUCAGUGAUGGAGCAUGUGACCAGCUCCUAUUCAGCCUGAGCGGGGAAGGUGAACUGCAAGACCUCCCCGUCUCUGUCCUCCCAAAGGCCAACACAACUUGCUUGGCUAACAAUACGUGUCCACCCACCACCUCCCUGAGCAGCGGGCGGCAGCUUGAUGGCUCCCUCUUUUCUGACAUACCCACCGGGAACGCGGGGCUGUAUAUAAGGAGGGGACGUGCUGCCUGCCUGACACUUCAAUCAGCAUCCAGGACUGCAAGCGCCAGGAAACAGCAGAGUCAGCUGAGGCUACUUCCAGAGAUGAACCUGAUGCUUCAAGUCACCUUCCUGGGUCUCCUGUCCCUGCUGGUGCAGGGCUGGGUUCAGAACAGAUCCCUGCAGCGUGAGAGAUGGAGCCAGCUGGACCUGCCGCAGAACAGAGAGCUGUUCCUAAGUGCCCUGCAGAGCUACUUCGGCAGCAGAGGGAUCCACGUCGAGAAGGCUGCGCCGGCCUUCGUGCUGUCCACGAGGGAUCGCAACCAGGGGGACCAGGAAGGACGAGAGCUGAUGGCCCCCGAGAGGGGGGUAGAUGACUAGGAAGAG
rnacentral:lncRNA from 1 species